rnacentral:rRNA from 1 species
AUUGAACGCUGGCGGCAUGCUUUACACAUGCAAGUCGAACGGUAACAGGCCGCAAGGUGCUGACGAGUGGCGAACGGGUGAGUAACGCAUCGGAACGUGCCCAGUCGUGGGGGAUAACGCAGCGAAAGCUGCGCUAAUACCGCUUACGAUCUCUGGAUGAAAGCGGGGGACCGAAAGGCCUCGCGCGAUUGGAGCGGCCGAUGUCAGAUUAGGUAGUUGGUGGGGGAAAGGCUCACCAAGCCAACGAUCUGUAGCUGGUCUGAGAGGACGACCAGCCACACUGGGACUGAGACACGGCCCAGACUCCUACGGGAGGCAGCAGUGGGGAAUUUUGGACAAUGGGCGCAAGCCUGAUCCAGCAAUGCCGCGUGCAGGAAGAAGGCCUUCGGGUUGUAAACUGCUUUUGUACGGAACGAAACGGUCCUGGUUAAUACCUGGGGCUAAUGACGGUACCGUAAGAAUAAGCACCGGCUAACUACGUGCCAGCCGCCGCCGUAAUAC